rnacentral:rRNA from 1 species
UACGUAGGGAGCAAGCGUUGUCCGGAAUCAUUGGGCGUAAAGCGCGCGUAGGCGGCCUCGUAAGUCCGUUGUGAAAGUCAAAGGCUCAACCUUUGAAAGCCGAUGGAUACUGUGAGGCUAGAGUCCGGAAGAGGCGAGUGGAAUUCCUGGUGUAGCGGUGGAAUGCGCAGAUAUCAGGAGGAACACCAAUAGCGAAGGCAGCUCGCUGGGACGGUACUGACGCUGAGGUGCGAAAGCGUGGGGAGCAAACAGG